AAUAGAAAAAUAUAUAAACAGAUGCUGCUGAAAAGUUUCGUUGUAUAUAGAAAUGCUUUUUAAAAAUUCUGCUUUGCUGUAACCUUUCAAGAGCCUCAUGCAUAAAGAAAAACAUGUGACCCAUAGUCUUGCACUUACCAAGCCUUUGAUACUUAACCUUGGUUCAUCCUAUAGUUCAUUUUCUUUACCCUCACAUUAAUUCAAAUUCAUUUACAUCCACAUUAAUAAUAAAAAAAGAAUUUAAGUCAGAGUCUCAUUCCUUGUAUCUCAAGAAACACUGUGAGAAUAAUAAUGAGAACUAACAGGUGGUAAGUGCUUAUUAUGUGCUUGAUACAAACACAAGACAAUUAAAUCUAUAAAUUUAUUUAUGAGAUAGGGACUUUUACUACCCCCAUUACCAAUGAAGAAAUGAAGCAUCCAGAAAUGUAAAAAUUAAGUGAAGCAAUGCAGAUUUCCUUUGGUUGAGAGGCAGACAUCAAUAGCAGCAAUGCAAGAAUUUAGGUUGUCUAGAGAGAUGUGACGGUGAGUUGCACAGUUGAAACACUGGCCAUCAUCUUAGUCCUGAGUGAAGGCUUUUGGGGUGAAAAUAUAGUGAAAAUGACCAAAGAUCUUGUCCACAUGGGUUUGGACAGAAAAUUAGGAUCUAAGAAGUUAACCAAGAGAAUAUCACCCAAGGGGAAUUUAUAGAAUUAGAAAUUCAGGUCCUAGAAAGCCUUAGGGUUGCAGAUACAAAGAAGGGUAGAUUAAAACCCUGUCUCAGGGGAAUAUGCUCUCAGAUUCAGCAGGUGAUGAGUUGUGGGUGGAAGAUGAUGAGGCAUAAGAAGUACAUCUCCUGAGACCCAUGUUCAAACAUGUUGAUCUCCAGGGCAGGGCCAUGAAGUGUUCACUCACCCUUCCUUCCUUCCUCUCUUCCCUUGUUCCUCUUUUACUCCUUCCCUCCCUCCCUCUGUCUAUGUCUGUCUUCAGUUCUAUGGCUGGACUACAUUUGAGGCUUGUUCACCCAAAGACAUCUUGGACAAACACAUUCUUUUUCUGUCCCUCUGUGUCUUUCUCUGCUACUGUUGGAUUCACCUUUCACCAAAGCCUGUUGAGGCAAAAUGAGCUAUGGGUAUAAAAGUAGUUUAGUUCAGAUUACCAGAGUUUUCCUUACUGCAAAAUUCGAUGUUUAAGAACUGCUAAUAAUACAAAGUUAUAAUACUUUAUAAUUGUUCUUGUGAAUUUUCUUGCUCAAAUAUGCCACAGGAAGUAGGAGUGGCUGUUAGUGGGUUUCCUGUUCAAAUAUUGUCUAUGAACAUCACAGACUUGCUAUAGAAAUUGAGUAAAGUGCUCCCCUCCCCUCCAGGCAAGUGAGAAGGUUCAGCUUUAAGAUAAUUGAUCUGUGUCUCCAGGAAUUUGAGGGAGGCAGAGAAGUUUAAAGACUCAAGUCUGGAGAGUCUAGAUGCUCUGUUUAUCUUGUUGACUAUGUUGAGAACCAGCUACAUGCCCACUGACAAUAGGACCAUGAAGAGGCAUGAUUCUCAUGGGCCUCCCUGAGGAAGGGAGGAGCUCAGUUAGUUCUUCUUGAGAGAUGCUCUGUCCGGAAGUAUCAUUUGGAUGGAUAAGGUGACCCCAGCAGAAGUGUGGACCUCCUAGAAGCUGGGAGACUAAGACGGAAGUGGUGGUAAACUAAUGAAUACUGUCUAAAAUAGAGGACCAAAAGUGUCACAUACAGUUGCAGGUCUUUCUGGCUCUGCUCUGUGGGAUGCCACCUCAGC